UACAGAGGGUGCAAGCGUUAAUCGGAUUUACUGGGCGUAAAGAGCGCGCAGGCGGUCGUUCAAGUCGCGUGUGAAAGCCCCCGGCUCAACUGGGGAGGGUCACGCGAUACUGAUCGACUCGAAGGCAGGAGAGGGUAGUGGAAUUCCCGGUGUAGUGGUGAAAUGCGUAGAUAUUCGGAAGAACACCAGUGGCGAAGGCGACUAACUGGACAUGUAUUGACGCUGAGGUGCGAAAGCGUGGGGAGGCAAACAGG
rnacentral:rRNA from 1 species